CCUACGGGAGGCAGCAGUGAGGAAUAUUGGUCAAUGGGCGCGAGCCUGAACCAGCCAAGUCGCGUGAGGGAGGACGGCCCUACGGGUUGUAAACUUCUUUUAUAAAGGAAUAAAGUGAGGCACGUGUGCCUUUUUGUAUGUACUUUAUGAAUACGGAUCGGCUAACUCCGGGCCAGCAGCCGCGGUAAUACGGAGGAUCCGAGCGUUAUCCGGAUUUAUUGGGUUUAAAGGGAGCGUAGAUGGGUUGUUAAGUCAGUUGUGAAAGUUUGCGGCUCAACCGUAAAAUUGCAAUUGAUACUGGCAGCCUUGAGUACAGUUGAGGUAGGCGGAAUUCGUGGUGUAGCGGUGAAAUGCUUAGAUAUCACGAAGAACUCCGAUUGCGAAGGCAGCUUACUAAACUGCCACUGACAUUGAUGCUCGAAAGUGUGGGUAUCAAACAGGAUUAGAUACCCCGGUAGUC
rnacentral:rRNA from 1 species